rnacentral:rRNA from 1 species
AAUAUUGGACAAUGGGGGCAACCCAGAUCCAGCCAUGCAGCGUGUGUUAAGAAGGUCUUCGGAUUGUAAAGCACUUUAAGUUGGGAGGAAGGGCUUUAGGUUAAUACCCUGAAGUUUUGACGUUACCAACAGAAUACGCACCGGCUACCUCUGUGCCAGCAGCCGCGGUAAUACAGAGGGUGCAAGCGUAAAUCGGAAUUACUGGGCGUAAAGCGCGCGUAGGUGGUUCAGUAAGAUGGGUGUGAAAUCCCCGGGCUUAACCUGGGAACUGCUUUCAUCACUGCUGAGCUAGAGUACGGUAGAGGGUAGUGGAAUUUCCUGUGUAGCAGUGAAAUGCGUAGAUAUAGGAAGGAACACCAGUGGCGAAGGCGACUACCUGGACUGAUACUGACACUGAGGUGCGAAAGCGUGGGGAGCAAAC